AGUGAACGCUGGCGGCAGGCCUAACACAUGCAAGUCGAACGGCAGCACAGGGGAGCUUGCUCCCUGGGUGGCGAGUGGCGGACGGGUGAGGAAUACAUCGGAAUCUGCCCAGUCGUGGGGGAUAACCUCGGGAAACCGGGACUAAUACCGCAUACGACCUUAGGGUGAAAGCGGAGGACCGCAAGGCUUCGCGCGAUUGG
rnacentral:rRNA from 1 species